GCCGUCCUUCCCACCGGCCGCCGCUCUCCCCGGCUAUUCUGGCCGGCCGCCACACCGUCGCCGCUCUCCGCGGCUAUUCCCGCCUGCGCUCCAGAAGUUCAGCAGGGCAGCAGGACUUGAACUUUCAAGGGACAGUAUCCGUAUUACUGAAUUACAAUUCUGCUGUCUGUAUGGUUAAGAGCUCUCGUGUGAUGGUAUCAAGUCGAGGGAACACUGAAUUGUUCAUUCAUCCUGACGGAACACAUUUGAUUCGCCGGCUAGAGCACAGUCCCAAUUAGUUCUGUUGAUUUAUAAAUCUCUGCCGUGUAUUUUGGCGACAAGAGCGCCAUUUCUAUUACCGGUAUUACUCAAUGUUGAAUAUCACAAACAUCAUCUAUUACUUCACAGGUUACUACAGAUUAGAAUUUUCUUUAAACUGGCAAUGCACAAUUGUACAUGCCUUCUUCCCAUUAUAUUGUUACCUUCUGCAUAGGCAUUGUUAGCAUUUUAUAUAUCAAUUGGCAAUGUUCGAUCUCAAGAAAAUGUUUAAAUUUCUGAUGGAGGUUGCAAUUGGCAAGCAGAAUUGAAUCAGUUCCCUUUUUAUAUAUCAAAUUUAUUUCAUUAAAAACUACCGCAGCAACCCGCGAGGUUUCAUAUAGUAUCCUAAAAGGUUGAUGCCAACCAUAUGAGCAUGCUUUUCCAACAACAAAAAAGAGGGGUAAAAAUUGACACUUUAGCUUUGUUUGGUUUCAUCACUAUAAUUUGUGAUAUAUUCUAUCAUGUAAGACUUUUUUCAUGUUUUGAACUAUUUGUAUUGUAGUCGUGCAAAUUUGAUAUAUGUGAAUUUCAAUGUUAACAAUCAAUUUGUCUUAUAUACUGUUCAUUUGACAAAUGUUUUUCACAAUUUAGUAGGUGCAAAAAAAUUUUUUGGAGGUGUGCCCCCCCUCCAAUUCUUUCCUGCGUCCGCCACUGGUUGGAUCCUACACCGUUGUUGAACCAACCAUUUCAAUCAUCUUGGCCAGCCGUUACAACAAUGAAGCAGAUCCUCAUCAGGUCGUUGAUUGAUCUGCAUAUUGAUGUUAUCAUGCCCCCCCUGCGAUUUUUCACUGCCGUGCAGAAAUUCGUGCAGACCAUUUGAGGAACACAGGGAACUUUCAUCAUCUCAUCCGCAACUCAGACCAUACUUGGUUUAAGUGGCCUCUAGCGCAAUGUGGUUAGGGUGUAUCAUUUCAGGUUGUGCCACCGACGCCUCCCCUGUGCAGAUGCAGCCACCCAAGGUUAAUUUUCAUCUGUACUGUACAUUCUCCUCUGUACGCGCAGUUGUUAGUUGAGGAUGAGACACAGAACAGAAUUUUGAGCUCUAUAUACAUGAAUUCAUCUGAAAUCUUGAAGUCUCUAUACAUGCAUGCAUCUCGGAUUAAAGAAAAGACGCUUUGAGGAACAUCAAUAUCGCUCCAGCAAUAACAAGCGAUAUCACAGUAGGAACCGUGGCUAAUACAAGUUGUUUGUAUCCUUUCCUUUUCCCUCCAUUUUGCGAUGCACUACUGCAACUUGGCAAUCCUUCCACUACACCACAUAGCAUCUUAUUAUGCAUGAACCACUUGAUUGGAGCUCCUUGGAAAAGCUUACUCGCUGGCACUGGUCCUUCCAACUCAUUUUAAAUUCUUGAGCCGACCUCCAGAGCACAACUCGGGUGGGAGGGGACCAGUGAGGUUGUUACUAUCGAGUUGCACAUAUUCGAGGUCCAUUAAGGUGCCAAUUUCUCGAGGAACAUGUCCUGAUAAUUGAUUACUAUCGAGGUACAAGCCAGUGAGCUUAGUCAAGUUUCCAAAGGUACUGGGGAUGGGGCCCAUCAAUUUGUUGUAGCUAAGAGAUAACUCUUUUAUAUUCGCCAUGUAACCUAGUUCUUGAGGAAUACGCCCAGAAAGUUGGUUAUCCCACAGAUAGAAAAUAGUGAGCUUUGUAAAAUUUCCAAAGGUAUCAGGGAUGGAACCAAUGAGUUUGUUGUCGUUUAGCUCUAAAUAUUCUAUAUCCACAAGGUAGCCUAGUUCUCGAGGAAGAUAU